UACUUUCCGCCAGAGAACUACGAGUGAAAAACUUAAAACUCAAAGGACUUGACGGUGUCCCAUAUCGGCCUAGAGGAGCCUGUCCUAUAAUCGAUACCCCCCGUUCCACCCAACCCCAACUAGCAAAACAUCAGCCUAUAUACCGCCGUCGACAGUUUACCCUAUGAAGGUCCAAUAGUAGACACAACAGCCCUAACGCUAAUACGUCAGGUCAAGGUGUAGCAAAUGCUGGGGAAGAGAUUGGCUACAUUUUUUAUGAUAAAAAACACGAAUUGCACCAUGAAAAAGUGCAUGAAGGUGAAUUUAGUAGUAAAACAGAUAAGAGUGUC
rnacentral:rRNA from 1 species